rnacentral:rRNA from 1 species
UGGGGAAUAUUGCACAAUGGGGAAGACCCUGAUGCAGCGACGCCGCGUGAGUGAAGAAGUAUUUCGGUAUGUAAAGCUCUAUCAGCAGGGAAGAUAAUGACGGUACCUGACUAAGAAGCCCCGGCUAACUACGUGCCAGCAGCCGCGGUAAUACGUAGGGGCGAAGCGUUAUCCGGAUUUACUGGGUGUAAAGGGUGCGUAGGUGGCAAGGCAAGUCAGAUGUGAAAGCCCGGGGCUCAACCCCGGUACUGCAUUUGAAACUGUCUGGCUAGAGUGCAGGAGAGGUAAGCGGAAUUCCUAGUGUAGCGGUGAAAUGCGUAGAUAUUAGGAGGAACACCAGUGGCGAAGGCGGCUUACUGGACUGUAACUGACACUGAGGCACGAAAGCGUGGGGAGCAAACAGGAUUAGAUACC